AUUGAAUGCUGGCGGCAGGCCUAACACAUGCAAGUCGAACGAGUGGCGGACGGGUGAGUAAUGUCUGGGAAACUGCCCGAUGGAGGGGGAUCACUACUGGAAACGGUAGCUAAUACCGCAUACCAUCGGAUGUGCCCAGAUGGGACUAGCUAGUAGGUGGGGUAACGGCUCACCUAGGCGACGAUCCCUAGCUGGUCUGAGAGGAUGACCAACCCAACUGGAACUGAGACACGGUCCAGACUCCUACGGGAGGGAGCAGUGGGGAAUAUUGCACAAUGGGCGCAAGCAUGAUGCAGCAAUGCCGCGUGUAUGAAGAAGGCUUUCGGGUUGUAAAGUACUUUCAGCGGGGAGGCGUUACCCGCAGAAGAGGCACCGGCUAACUCCGUGCCAGCAGCCGCGGUAAUAC
rnacentral:rRNA from 1 species